UGCCUCACUAGCUCAUUGGUAGAGCCGCUCGCUCAUAACGUGCAGGUACCUGGUUCGAUUCCAGGGUGAGGUAC
rnacentral:tRNA from 1 species